UUUGAUUCUGGCUCAGAAUCAACGCUGGCGGCGUGCCUAACACAUGCAAGUCGAACGAGAAAGUGGGGGCAACCCUGCGAGUACAGUGGCAGACGGGUGAGUAACACGUGAACAACCUACCCUUGAGUGGGGAAUAACACCGCGAAAGCGGUGCUAAUACCGCAUAAAAUCUUCGGGUCGCAUGACGUGGAGAUCAAAAGCGCAAGUUGCUUGAGGAGGGGUUCGCGGCUGAUUAGCUAGUUGGUGAGGUAACGGCCCACCAAGGCAACGAUCAGUAGCCGGCCUGAGAGGGCGAACGGCCACACUGGAACUGGGACACGGUCCAGACUCCUACGGGAGGCAGCAGUGGGGAAUUUUGCGCAAUGGGCGAAAGCCUGACGCAGCAACGCCGCGUGGAGGAUGAAGGCCUUCGGGUCGUAAACUCCUGUCGAUGGGGACGAAGUUCUCGCAAGAGGAUUGACUGUACCCGUUGAGGAAGCCACGGCUAACUCCGUGCCAGCAGCCGCGGUAAUACGGGGGUGGCAAGCGUUGUUCGGAAUUACUGGGCGUAAAGGGCGCGUAGGCGGCAUAACAAGUCAGAUGUGAAAGCCCCGAGCUCAACUCGGGAACUGCAUCUGAAACUGUAUUGCUUGAGUUCUGGAGGGGGUAGUGGAAUUCCCAGUGUAGCGGUGAAAUGCGUAGAUAUUGGGAGGAACACCUGCGGCGAAGGCGGCUACCUGGACAGUGACUGACGCUGAGGCGCGAAAGCUAGGGGAGCGAACGGGAUUAGAUACCCCGGUAGUCCUAGCCGUAAACGAUGGGGCACUUGGUGUUGGGGGUAUUGAGUCCCUCGGUGCCGGAGCUAACGCGAUAAGUGCCCCGCCUGGGGAGUACGGUCGCAAGACUGAACUCAAGGAAUUGACGGGGGCCGCACAGCGGUGGAGCAUGUGGUCAAUUCGACGCAACGCGAGAACCUUACCGGGGCUUGGAACUGUAAC
rnacentral:rRNA from 1 species